AUUGAACGCUGGCGGCAGGCCUAACACAUGCAAGUCGAACGGUAGCACAGAGAGCUUGCUCUCGGGUGACGAGUGGCGGACGGGUGAGUAAUGUCUGGGAAACUGCCCGAUGGAGGGGGAUAACUACUGGAAACGGUAGCUAAUACCGCAUAACGUCGCAAGACCAAAGUGGGGGACCUUCGGGCCUCACACCAUCGGAUGUGCCCAGAUGGGAUUAGCUAGUAGGUGGGGUAAUGGCUCACCUAGGCGACGAUCCCUAGCUGGGCUGAGAGGAUGAACAAGCACACUGGAACUGAGACACGGUCCAGACUCCUACGGGAGGCAGCAGUGGGGAAUAUUGCACAAUGGGCGCAAGCCUGAUGCAGCCAUGCCGCGUGUAUGAAGAAGGCCUUCGGGUUGUAAAGUACUUUCAGCGGGGAGGAAGGCGGUGGAGUUAAUAACUUCACCGAUUGACGUUACCCGCAGAAGAAGCACCGGCUAACUCCGUGCCAGCCGCCGCCGUAA
rnacentral:rRNA from 1 species